CGGGGCUCUCAUGGGUGGACCCGGGGGCCCCGGGGAGGCGGGGACUACAUUUCCCAAGAUGUCGCGCGCGGGGUUUCGUUCCGCGCCAGGAGUAGAGACCCGUGAUUGAGAUCGUCCCUGUCGAUUAGAAGAGGAUAAAGGAACUGAUGCCGAAGGAGGUUCAGUAAUAUGCUCACGGACACACAAGUGACAUGUCAGAGCUGCGAUUGCCUUCAGUAGUCCAGUUUUAAGUCCAAAGCCUUAAUCGUUCUUUCUGGAUACCCAGUACCUUAUAAUGCAGAAACCAAACCUUGGUAGGAAAACGAUAAGGUCCCCAGGAAGACAAGACCUGGACCCAGGAAGGGGAGAUGGCAACAUGCAGAGAAACCACACCUGCAGAAUUACGAGGACUCAAAGGGCGCUUUGGAUGAUGUCUCAUUCGAGAAGAACCCAUCUGGACAUCUUUUGCAAACUGUAUUUCGCUCCGGGGUUCCUACAAAAAUAUCAAGCC